rnacentral:rRNA from 1 species
GAUGAACGCUGGCGGCGUGCCUAAUACAUGCAAGUCGAGCGAACGGACGAGAAGCUUGCUUCUCUGAUGUUAGCGGCGGACGGGUGAGUAACACGUGGAUAACCUACCUAUAAGACUGGGAUAACUUCGGGAAACCGGAGCUAAUACCGGAUAAUAUUUUGAACCGCAUGGUUCAAAAGUGAAAGACGGUCUUGCUGUCACUUAUAGAUGGAUCCGCGCUGCAUUAGCUAGUUGGUAAGGUAACGGCUUACCAAGGCAACGAUGCAUAGCCGACCUGAGAGGGUGAUAGGCCACACUGGAACUGAGCCACGGUCCAGACUCCUACGGGAGGCAGCAGUAGGGAAUCUUCCGCAAUGGGCGAAAGCCUGACGGAGCAACGCCGCGUGAGUGAUGAAGGUCUUCGGAUCGUAAAACUCUGUUAUUAGGGAAGAACAUAUGUGUAAGUAACUGUGCACAUCUUGACGGUACCUAAUCAGAAAGCCACGGCUAACUACGUG